rnacentral:tRNA from 1 species
GGGGCUGGGGCUCAGGGGUAGAGCACUUGCCUAGCAUGCAUGAGGCAUUGGGUUCCAUCCCUGGCACCA